rnacentral:rRNA from 1 species
ACAAACCGGAGGAAGGUGGGGAUGACGUCAAGUCCUCAUGGCCCUUAUGGUGGGCUACACACGUCAUACAAUGGCCGGUACAGAGGGUUGCCAACCCGCGAGGGGGAGCUAAUACCCACAAAGCCGAUCGUAGUCCGGAUCGCAGUCUGCAACUCGACUGCGUGAAGUCGGAAUCGCUAGUAAUCGUGGAUCAGCAUGUCACGGUGAAUACGUUCCCGGGUCUU